rnacentral:rRNA from 1 species
AACGAACGCUGGCGGCAUGCCUAACACAUGCAAGUCGAACGAGACCUUCGGGUCUAGUGGCGCACGGGUGCGUAACGCGUGGGAACCUGCCUUUAGGUUCGGAAUAACUCAGAGAAAUUUGAGCUAAUACCGGAUGAUGUCUUCGGACCAAAGAUUUAUCGCCUUUAGAUGGGCCCGCGUUGGAUUAGCUAGUUGGUGGGGUAAAGGCCUACCAAGGCGACGAUCCAUAGCUGGUCUGAGAGGAUGAUCAGCCACACUGGGACUAAGACACGGCCCAGACUCCUACGGGAGGCAGCAGUGGGGAAUAUUGGACAAUGGGCGAAAGCCUGAUCCAGCAAUGCCGCGUGAGUGAUGAAGGCCUUAGGGUUGUAAAGCUCUUUUACCCGAGAUGAUAAUGACAGUAUCGGGAGAAUAAGCUCCGGCUAACUCCGUG